rnacentral:rRNA from 1 species
CCUACGGGAGGCAGCAGUGAGGAAUAUUGGUCAAUGGACGAGAGUCUGAACCAGCCAAGUAGCGUGAAGGAUGACUGCCCUAUGGGUUGUAAACUUCUUUUAUAUGGGAAUAAAACGUUCCACGUGUGGGAUUUUGUAUGUACCAUAUGAAUAAGGAUCGGCUAACUCCGUGCCAGCAGCCGCGGUAAUACGGAGGAUCCGAGCGUUAUCCGGAUUUAUUGGGUUUAAAGGGUGCGUAGGUGGAUUGUUAAGUCAGUUGUGAAAGUUUGCGGCUCAACCGUAAAAUUGCAGUUGAAACUGGCAGUCUUGAGUACAGUAGAGGUGGGCGGAAUUCGUGGUGUAGCGGUGAAAUGCUUAGAUAUCACGAAGAACUCCGAUUGCGAAGGCAGUUCACUGGACUGCAACUGACACUGAGGCUCGAAAGUGUGGGUAUCAAACAGGAUUAGAUACCCUAGUAGUC